rnacentral:pre_miRNA from 1 species
AUCAUCUGGAGGUCUUGUUAAAAUGCAGAUUCUCAUUAAGUAGGUCUGGAGUAGGGCCUGAGAUUCUGCAUUUCUAACAAGCUCCCAGGUGAUGCCCA